GCUGCUGCGCUCAACCUUUCUAUCUUCCUCGUUUCCCCUUCUCGAUCUACCCAUCUAUUCGUGUAUCUAUCCCGUUCUCUCUUCCCGGGUGUCUUAAAUUAGAAUUUCAGGUGAGUCGUUCUGAAAUCCGAUUCGACGACUCUACAUGCGACAGCGCGGAGCGGGGAUUCGUAAUCGAUCGCAGCUCGAGCUGCGUCGAAAGUGAGAGAAACGCAGAAAGUUGCUGAAAGUGGCCGGAUAAAAAGGGCGACAGAGACGGCGAAAGGGGCAGAAAGUUAGAGAAACGGAGUACGGAAGGAUUUGUAGAUGGCAAAAGAAAGAGCGAGAUAGAGAAGAUAACGAGUAGGUUUUUAAACCCCGGGUUGAAAAAACGAGAGUUGGAAAAAUGGACGUUACGUAUUGCAUGUGAACAAUCACACGAGGUACGGCCGUCAAAUUCGAUGUCCAUGCUACGUCGACGAGGGAUGACAAACGCUAGAACGCCCGUUGAACUUUCGAUACGCAUGUUGUAUUCCAUGUAUGAAAGCGAAUCACAGUCGGAGUUUGAGUUUCCUCGGAAUUGCACCGUUUUUUAAUUCCCUCGUGCUCGUGCUUCAUCGUCGUAGGAACAACCUAAAGGCCACAUGGCGGGAUCAACCGAUCGGUUUACUUAAUUUCCGAGCGUAACUUUAGAACGAAAUUGAAGUCGCCGCGUCACGUGGUCGAGCUGGAAUUUAAAAUAUGCUUGGGUCGUCUUGCUUGAGAGCCUUUGAGAUUUUCGGUGAUUGAAACUGACGAGCGUUGCUCGGACACGGCGUAUCGUAUGAUCGAAUAACGUGGUAGAUCGAGUGUGUGUCAAUCGACACGUUGCUGCACAUUGUGUCGAUAUUUGCUCUUCUUUCGACGUGACCGUUUGUGUAUGAUGUUACAUUCAUUGAUUGCAUUUUAAACGUGUUUCCACGAAAAGCACACUGAAAAAGUGAAUAAGAGGGCUGUUUGUUUUGUAAUCAAUCUCUCUGUAUUUAUAUCUUUUUUGUGGCUGCUCGAUUUCCUUUGUAGAAAAAAUUCAGCGAAUAUAUGUUUGAAAAUUUCAGAUUUAUUUGAUAAUUUAAUCGUCUCUGUAAAAAUAUAAACGUAGAACGAGUAGAGCAAUAUUAAUCAGGAUUGGAAUUCAAUCGGAAAUUAUUGAUCUACUUUUCAAAUUACACAAUUAAUUUCGCAGCCAAAUAUCGUUUAUUCAAUUUUCCGAACACACGACUGCAUUCUCAUAUUAUUAGACUUGUACGCGAAUGAUUCGAAUUUGCGAAUUGUUCAACCAGUUCGACGCGUUACGAAAAAUUAAAACACUUUAACACUGUAUAUCUUGCGCUCUUGAACUUUGAACAUUGAAUUUCAAACUUUAUUUUCAACCUUGAUCUUAUUAGCUUGCAGUAAACCAAUUUUUAUUGCGGCAUAAACGGCUCUAUGAGCCAUGAGCGUUUGAAGCUAACGGGAGAAUAACGUGUAAACAGUCCACAUAUUCUGUAAACGAGCAGACAUCUUUUUCUUUAAAUCGAUACUUAUAUACAUCUCAUAGGCGGCUGUAUACGACAUUUCAAUUUUUGUUCAAUUUUUAUUCCCCUUGUACUUUCCUCCUGCUUUGUCGUUUCAACAUAAGAUGCGUACCUUUUUACGUACUCGUCGGCAUCAAACCUGUCGGAAACGUUUGCGUUCACCUGAAGCAUUGCGUCUCGUAUAUCUCGUAGAAUGCUUUUUUCGAGUCUCGCAAUUCUCCUAGCGACUUCCUUGCACACGCAUGAAGUAUAACAAUUCUACAAGAAUUUGCUGAAAGACGUUGAAAUCGUUCGACCAAAAUGGCACAUUUUCAAGGAACACAUUUUCGAGGUUUCAAUAAAAGCUUCGAGUGUGUCAACGUUCACAUUUCUUUCGGCGUAAUGUAUUUGAUAUAGAAAUGAAAUUCUAUUAAGUCAGGCUAUAGCUUGGUAUGUGGACUAUUUGAAACUACCUGUGGUUAAAAAUAGAAUUAAAAAGUUUAUUGGAACUUCUUUCUGUGACGAGGAAAGUAAAUCAAUACGUAUGUAGGUGUAUGGACCGGGAAGGAAUCAAAGAAAUUGUGGAUUUGUUAAGUUAAUGUUAACGCAUUUUCUAAUGUCGUUACAUCGAUCGAUAAAUAGAUAUUUCGCCUGAUAAGCGUAAUGGUCGUCUUUGAUCAGAAAUCAAAUAAGCUCCGAGAUAUUACACUUUUCGAUAGGUAUUAGUUAACUGAAGUAAUCUACUUUCUUACUGCUAGCGCACUAAACUGAUGAUUCUGCACAAUCGAUAAUAUAAAUUUAUGGAAAUUUGCACGCUUUUGAGAUAGCAUAAGUUAAAUUAGAAAUUCCGUUUAGAGCGUGGAUAUCAAAAGUUGAGUGCCUUUAUAAAACCGAUAUCAAAUUCUGCUAAAUGGUGCACUAAAAAAGACAUUUUACAAACCGCUUGAAUCGACGUCAAAGCGUCAAUUUAAAAUUUAAGUGUUUUUAUGACAAAUUUAUAGAAAUCGAAUGAUUGAUCUAUAAGUUAAAAUUGUCGAAAGUAAGUUAAACCAAAUUUUAUCAUUUAUUUCGAAAUGUUUAGAAGUUGUGUCAAGAAAAAAAAAAUUAAAAUUUGUUAUCGCGUAUACCAUAUUGCUGCGAUGUUGUUUUUCGCUUUAAUUGUUUGCUUGAAUUCAGGCGAAAAAUAUUUGACGGUAAAACAUGGUACACUCAUCGAUGGUCAUUAGUAAUACUUAUUUUGCUAGAUGAUUAAUAGGAAUCAUAAUGAUUCUUUAAUAUAUACCUUCGAUAUUUUGCGCCUUUGUGUAGUCGAAUCUACUUUUUCUAAGCAAUAUUUAUUCCUCAAACAGAAGUAGAUUGAACGAAACGUUAUCUAUGAAAUUCUUAUCACUUUUCCAUUAACUCGAGCAAAUAUUCAUCUUCUUCGCUGCGCAUCCAAUCAAACUGCAAACAGUUCAAGCUUUGUUAAUUCGUGUUUUUAGAGAACACGAUAUUUUCUAAUUGUCCUCUAUUAAUGGUAAUUUGAGCGCCUUGUAUCGGCAAAGCAGUAGCGACGUUAAAAACGUGUUGAAGUGAACACAAGUAUAGAUUUAUUGAUUAGAAACAGUACUUAACGUGUAUCGACGUAUACGGAAACAUACUAUAAGUAUCGCGUGCUUUAUGAACUCAUUAUACUAACAAAUUUUUUUUACUUCACACAGCAUUAGUAAUGAGCUACGAGCUCAUGUACUGUUAUCAUGUCAUGUACAGUCGAUCUAAAUUUUUAUUAUUUUUAUAGCAACCUGGUUCAGUACCUCGAUCAAAGAAUAUUUCUGUAUCGAUAACGCAAAUCAUAUCGUUUCCACGAAGUUUAACGUCAGUAACGUUACUAUUUACUUUGUUUUAAUAAUAUUUCAUACGUGUCCCGUUUACUUAAAUACAAAUUAUAAUAGACAUCCGUUUCCUUCGUAUACUUUAAAAUUAGUUUGUAAUUAAUACGUAUUGUAUUAUUACUAAUUAUAGAAUUUAAAAACAAACGUAACGUUAAUUAUAUUAUAUAAUUGUAUAACGUGAACUAACACGAUUGUAUAAUAUCUAAUUUUGUUCGUAACGCGUGCAGCUUUUAUUUCAAAAGAAAUAUUACAGCUGAUGCGAACUUUCAAGUUUCGGAAACUUAUCAAAAUUAGUUUGUUAUAUCAUUUCCUGUACUGAUUACAAGUAUAUAUUCACUUAAUACCCGUUUUACUAUUUCUUUUCUUCCUGAGCUCUAGUUAGAUUGUAAACCCUAUUUACGAUGAUGUAUCGAGACGUUGACUUAUGUGAUAUAAAUCACAUAAAUCUGGUUAAAAGUAGAUGUGUGUAAUUAAUACUCGUCAUAAUACAGAAACAACAGUUAUAAUUUUCGAACUUAAUAGACGCGUAUCAUUAUUCGUUAUGUAGAUGCGAGUUUUUAUCGAAUUCUGUCCAUUGUAUUUAUUGCAUUGGUUUUAUUACUAACAUCAAUGACGUUGUUAUAUUCGAUCUCGAUACAAAGUGCACCAGAAAACAAUUUAUUCAACUGCAGUAACUAAUGUCGACGCUUGGGUUCGAACAAUAAACAUUUAAAUGUCGAGUAAAGUAAAUUUUUUGUUUAAAAAUUAUAUUUCUAUCGGUAAAUUGCUAUUUAUUAAAUAAUACCUACUACUGCUAUUUAUAAAAUAUGCACGCUCUCUGUGAGAAUCUUGACACGGGGAUUGCACGGAAAAUUGAACAUUUUUUAGACCAACCACGGUUUGCUAAACGCUAAAUACGUUUGGAGCGCAGCAUUGAAAUUUCGCACGGACAAAUAUGAAAUUAAUUUCAUAAGAUGUAUAUUGGAGGAAUAUUCGUUUAAUUAAUUCUUAGUAAUACUAAGGGAGCAAAGGGUAGACAUAUUUUUCUCUGAAUUACUUAAAUUAAUUAAAUUAAUAUAUAAAAAUACGGGAAUGCAAAUCUUUGUUUUCGAAGACAAUAAUGCACGUGAUACGAGACAAAUAAAUACAAAUAAAAUGGUCAAAGCGAGUUUAAUUUAAUUGUUAUUUCAGUAUGCCACGGUUCAUAAGUCGCUAGCUGUAUUAAUCGAUAAUUUUAAUACAGUUAUGCAUAAUUUAGUUCCAUAAAGUCAGAAACAGGCAUCCUUUGUACCUGUAUUGACGCUUUGAACGGUUCGCGUGCUGUAAGCGGGUAUCGUAUUGGUUCCUAUACCAGGUGUUUCAGGAUAAAUGUGAUCUAAGAUAAUUCCUAAAUUAAUUAAUGAUUCUAUGGUAUAGUAAGGAACAUUUUGUUUGUCCUAAGAAUCUAUAAUAGGAUAAAAAUUAUGUUUCUUAAAAUAUUUGAAAUUUUCUUGUACGGAACUACAGAAAAUGUCUAUUCAGCGAUAC